rnacentral:tRNA from 1 species
GUCUUUGUGGUGUAGUGGUUAGCAUGAUCGCUUGAUGCGCGACAGAUUUGGGUUCGAUUCCCAACGGAGACA